GACGAACGCUGGCGGCGUGCUUAACACAUGCAAGUCGAACGGAAAGGCCCUGCUUUUGUGGGGUGCUCGAGUGGCGAACGGGUGAGUAACACGUGAGUAACCUGCCCUUGACUUUGGGAUAACUUCAGGAAACUGGGGCUAAUACCGGAUAGGAGCUCCUGCUGCAUGGUGGGGGUUGGAAAGUUUCGGCGGUUGGGGAUGGACUCGCGGCUUAUCAGCUUGUUGGUGGGGUAGUGGCUUACCAAGGCUUCGACGGGUAGCCGGCCUGAGAGGGUGACCGGCCACAUUGGGACUGAGAUACGGCCCAGACUCCUACGGGAGGCGGCAGUGGGGAAUAUUGCACAAUGGGCGGAAGCCUGAUGCAGCAACGCCGCGUGCGGGAUGACGGCCUUCGGGUUGUAAACCGCUUUCGCCUGUGACGAAGCGUGAGUGACGGUAAUGGGUAAAGAAGCACCGGCUAACUACGUG
rnacentral:rRNA from 1 species